rnacentral:rRNA from 1 species
GGUUUAAUUUGAUGCAACGNGCAGAACCUUACCUGGGCUUGACAUNCCGGAAGUAGGACCCGGAAACGGGAUCGACUCGUCAAGGCGAGAACCGGCACAGAUGCUGCAUGGCUGUCGUCAGCUCGUGCCGUGAGGUGUUGGGUUAAGUCCCGCAACGAGCGCAACCCUCGUCGCCAGUUACUUGUCUGGCGAGACCGCCGGGUACAACCCGGAGGAAGGUGGGGAUGACGUCAAGUCAGCACGG